UACGUAGGUGGCAAGCGUUGUCCGGAAUUAUUGGGCGUAAAGAGCAUGUAGGCGGGAAUCUAAGUCUGUUGUGAAAAUGCGGGGCUCAACCCCGUAUGGCGAUGGAAACUGGAUUUCUUGAGUGCAGGAGAGGAAAGGGGAAUUCCCAGUGUAGCGGUGAAAUGCGUAGAUAUUGGGAGGAACACCAGUGGCGAAGGCGCCUUUCUGGACUGUGUCUGACGCUGAGAUGCGAAAGCCAGGGUAGCGAACGGGAUUAGAUACCC
rnacentral:rRNA from 1 species